rnacentral:lncRNA from 1 species
AAGAAAAAUGCUUGUUUUGGCCCCUUUUUGGCCCCUAAUUCCUAAUCUGUUGGGACCUCAACUCCCAAAAUCAAUCCCAACCUUCCUUUUGUGUUCAUCAACCUUGUGUUUAAAUUUCAUUGAUUUCUAUUUACUUAUACUAAAGUUAUUGUGCGAAAACCAAGAAUAAUGCUUAUUUGGGCCCUUUUUUUGGUCCCUAAUUCCUAA